UCUUCAAUUCCUCCCAAAAUUCCAAAUUGUAAAUCUGUAUUUUGUUAGGAAUUCCAAGUAUAAUAGCCAAUUACAAGAGAUGUAUUACAUAAGAUUUUUAAAGUUCGAUACAUUUCGACUUGUCCCUUAUGCUCAAGUAUUUAUUCUAUUGUAGAUAUCUUAAGUGUAGAUCAAUGAAAAUCCCUAACCCGACAACUCAUGUUAAUCUUGUUUUCAUCCUCGAUCGCAAGUAUACAUGUAU